rnacentral:rRNA from 1 species
UACGGGGGGGGCAAGCGUUUGUUCGGAAUUACUGGGCGUAAAGGGUUCGUAGGUGGCUCGCUAAGUCAGACGUGAAAUCCCUCAGCUUAACUGGGGAACUGCGUCUGAGACUGGCGAGCUCGAGUGCAGGAGAGGAACGCGGAAUUCCAGGUGUAGCGGUGAAAUGCGUAGAUAGUCGGGAGGAACACCUGAGGCGAAGGCGGGCUACUGGGCCGAUACUGACGCUGAUGCGCGAAAGCGUG